rnacentral:rRNA from 1 species
GAUCAUGGCUCAGGAUGAACGCUGGCGGCGUGCCUAAUACAUGCAAGUAGAACGCUGAAGCUUGGUGCUUGCACCGAGCGGAUGAGUUGCGAACGGGUGAGUAACGCGUAGGUAACCUGCCUCUUAGCGGGGGAUAACUAUUGGAAACGAUAGCUAAUACCGCAUAAAAGUCGACAUUGCAUGAUGUUGACUUGGAAGGUGCAAUUGCAUCACUAAGAUAUGG